GACGAACGCUGGCGGCGUGCCUAAUACAUGCAAGUCGAACGCAUUUUCUUUCACCGUAGCUUGCUACACCGAAAGAAAAUGAGUGGCGAACGGGUGAGUAACACGUGGGUAACCUGCCCAUCAGCGGGGGAUAACACUUGGAAACAGGUGCUAAUACCGCAUAAUUCCAUUUACUGCAUGGUAGAUGGAUGAAAGGCGCUUUUGCGUCACUGAUGGAUGGACCCGCGGUGCAUUAGCUAGUUGGAGGGGUAACGGCCUACCAAGGCUGCGAUGCAUAGCCGACCUGGGAGGGUGAUCGGCCACACUGGGACUGGAAAACGGCCCAGACUCCUACGGGAGGCAGCAGUAGGGAAUCUUCGGCAAUGGACGCAAGUCUGACCGAACAACGCCGCGUGAGUGAAGAAGGUUUUCGGAUCGUAAAACUCUGUUGUUAGAAAAGAACAAGGAUGAGAGUGGAAAGUUCAUCCCUUGACGGUAUCUAACCAGAAAGCCACGGCUAACUACGUG
rnacentral:rRNA from 1 species